AUCUAGGGUCAUAUUGUCUAUCUCCUGUGUGGCCUACUGACACAAAGUGAUGACAAAAUCUUUUGUGUUACUCCCAAAGGGCUAAGAACUUCUAAGAAAUCCUAACUCUCAUCAAAGCUGCUUUCUUUACAAGUAGUUAGUUGACCUCUAAUGCACUCAUUGUUUGUUUGUUUGUAUUCAGUUAAAAAAGAAAGAAAGACAAAAAAGAGAGAGAGGGGAAGAACAAAAGACAGAGAGAAAAAGAGAAAAAGAAAAGAGAAAAGGAAAGGGAAAGGAAAAGGAAAAAGAAAAGAAACAAAAAGGAAGAAAACAAGUCUGUCAUCCUAAAUAAUAGGAUGUAUAUCAGGAAUAUUUAAGAACUUGAGCUUUUUACUGUAAGUCAAUAUUUCAAUUAAAAAUAAAUUAGUCCUUGACAAUAGAACAUUUGAAAAAUAUGCUUUGUUAUGUACUUUACUUAAAAUACUAUAUCAACAAUUAAGAAAAAGUUGACAGAAUAAAUCAGUGUUGAAAUGUAUCUUAAUAGGUUUUCUUCUGGCUUGUUUGAGGGUUUCCUUCUUCUUCAGUGCUAAAGUAUGAAUAUUUUAUUCUUUACUAGUAGUCCCACUUCCCACUCUCUUCCUCUUUACAGUGACUGCUUUUAAUCUACACUAGGCAAGAAAUCCUUAUAAUCAAAGUUGUUGUCAUGGGCAAAAUACUGAGUGAAAAGGCUGUGAGUAAAUAUGUAAGGACUUAUUUUAUUAGUAAGGUCCACAGAACUAAAAAUACCAAUAAUAACUUUUAUUUGAAAUUUUGAUUGGUUAUUCAAAAAUAUUUCCUAAGUAAUUGGAACUGAUUGUAACUCUAGCACAGUGUAAUGAAAAUUUCCCAAAUGCUCCAUAUGACCUUUCUCUUGUUCACAGACUAGUUUCUUUUUUCUCCACCUCCAUGUUGCUAACCAUAAUUCUGACUCUGCCAGAGGAGAGGGAGAAGAGUGAGAAAAGAUUUUACUCCAGUGGUACCAUCUCAAUGCGGCAAGUAUUUAAGAAACAAAAGGAUUGCAGUAUAUGGAUGCUGUGGUGUUUUGUGAGUACAGUUGAUAUACCAGCCAAGAUGACACCAAGGACAUCCCCAAAAGAGAGAGCAUGAGAAAGAGAGAAAAAAUAUUGUAAAGACCUUUAAACAGGAAGAAAACAUGAAACAAUCCAGAGAAUGUCAGAUGGAUUUAAGACAAGAAAAAAGUCAAGAGAAUGGAGAGCACACUAAGAGUCAGCAGGUGAAUUUGAGAGUUUGGAAUUGCAAGGCCUUGCAAGGCUUGUUUAAAAUAAGGCACACAAUUAAAUAUUAUUGUAAGUAAUAUUAAGCAUAAUCCUGUAAAAAUUUCAAGAGAGGCAUUCAUAUGAUCUGUUUGGGAUAUAAAAGGAAUACUCAAGAUGAUCUGUGAAGAAUGAAGGACUAAAGAGAAAAUAAGGCAGUAGAGAAACCAAUUUAAUGGCUAAUAGUAAUAGUCAUUUAGACAUUACUAAGGUUGAAGAGGAAGAUGGAUGCAAAUAUGUUUUGAGGAGAUCAUUAACCUAGAUGUUGAAUUCACCAAGGAUGAUGAUAGAAGUAUAUAGGAAGAUUAUGAACCAUAAAUAUUCCUAAGAAGGAGGCCUCUUUUCCCGAAGUAUAUGGUGUCAGAGAAGUAAAUGUCUCCUGCUUAUGUGUGUCACUGGGGAAAAAACAUCAUCAAAGAGUAGCCACAUAUCAUGGUAAACAAAGGGGUUAAGAGAAGUGUGAGAAUUGUGUGAGGAUAUCUUAGAGUUUUUUAAUCAGUGAGGAGGAAUUCAGAGGACACAACUGGCAGUUUGCAUAGAGCUAAAUAUUGGCAAGUGUUCUCAGGUUAAUAACAGUACUAAGUAAUAUGUAGAUAACAAUUGAUUAUCAAGGAGACUUACACUUUAAGUAAUCCCUAAAGAAAACAAUAAUACAAGAUCUAAUGAAUUUGAUCUUGGUAGAGAUGUAGACUACAGGUUUCCUUGAAGAUACUCUGAGUGACCCAUUAAAAAUUGCAUGGAAGGCUCACACAGGAAUGAUUUGGGAAAAGAUCGUGGAAUACCUUAAAUGUUGUGGGUAAACUACUUGUUUAAUAAAAAGUUGUAGCUUUAUAUGGGGGCUUUUUAA
rnacentral:lncRNA from 1 species